UAUGCUGACUCGUGAGAUUACAAACAUUUCUCUUCCUAGGUGUCCAAAGAAGCUACUGACGACUCCGAAACGGGAGGAGAGACUAUUUACGGGCGUGGGAGAAGGGCAGCAUUAGUACCAAAGAAUGCAAAGCUCUCUUCAACACUUUUAGCGAUAUGUGCCGUCGCUCGUAAGAUUGAUUGGAGCUUACAUCGCGGUAGCCUGCCUUUACUGGAUGAUAUAAACCAAAUACUGGUUCAUGAAACUAAAAUCAAGGGAGCGAUAAUCGACAUCCGCCUAAAAGUUUUUGUAGCACACACACGCCACUCCGUGCGUUUAUCAAAGGAAUAACGAAUGCUACUAGACUG